rnacentral:rRNA from 1 species
GUAGUUAGCCGGGGCUUCCUCCUUGGGUACCGUCACUUUCUUCGUCCCCAAGGACAGAGGUUUACAAUCCGAAAACCUUCUUCCCUCACGCGGCGUUGCUGGGUCAGAGUUGCCUCCAUUGCCCAAUAUUCCCCACUGCUGCCUCCCGUAGGAGUCUGGACCGUAUCUCAGUUCCAGUGUGGCCGAUCACCCUCUCAGGUCGGCUACCCAUCGUUGGCUUGGUGGGCCGUUACCUCACCAACUACCUAAUGGGACGCGAGCCCCUCUACAAGCGAUAAAUCUUUUACCCCUGUGCCAUGCAGCACUGUGGUCUCAUGCGGUAUUAGCAGCCGUUUCCAGCUGUUGUCCCCCUCUUGUAGGCAGGUCGCUCACGCGUUACUCACCCGUCCGCCACUAACACUUCUCAGGUGCAAGCACCCGACUGAUGUCCGUUCGUACUUGCAUGUGUUAAGACACGCCGCCACGCGUUCGUCUGAGCAGAAUACAACUACUGA